rnacentral:rRNA from 1 species
ACAUGUUCUUUAGAAAAUAAUUAAAGGUCGGGCCUGCUCAAUGAAUAAUUUAAAUAGCUGCGGUAUAUUAACCGUACAAAGGUAGCAUAAUCAAUAGUUUUUUAAUUGAAAGCUGGAAUGAAUGGUUUGAUGAAAUUUAAAUUGUAUCAGUUUUAUUAAGAUUUAAAAUUUUCUUUCUAGUUAAAAUGCUAGAUUAUAUUUAAAAGACGAGAAGACCCUAUAGAUUUUAAUAAUUAUUUAUAUUUAAUUUAUAAAUAUAUAAAUAAAAUUAAAAUUAAGUAUUUAUUUGAUUGGGGUAAUUAUUAAAUUUAAUAAAUUUUAAUUUUUUAAAACAUAGAUAAAAGAAUAUUUAAUCCUAAAAUUUGGAGAAUAAAAUAAAAUACCUUAGGGAUAACAGCGUAAUUUUUUUGGGGAGAUCUAAUUUAUAAAAAAGUUUGCGACCUCGAUGUUGAAUUAAGAUUAAAUUUUAAUGUAGAAGUUAAAAAUUUUUGGUCUGUUCGACCAUUGAAAUCUUACGUGAUCU